rnacentral:rRNA from 1 species
AGCGAACGCUGGCGGCAGGCCUAACACAUGCAAGUCGAACGAACUCUUCGGAGUUAGUGGCGGACGGGUGAGUAACACGUGGGAACGUGCCUUUAGGUUCGGAAUAACUCAGGGAAACUUGUGCUAAUACCGAAUGUGCCCUUCGGGGGAAAGAUUUAUCGCCUUUAGAGCGGCCCGCGUCUGAUUAGCUAGUUGGUGAGGUAAAGGCUCACCAAGGCGACGAUCAGUAGCUGGUCUGAGAGGAUGAUCAGCCACAUUGGGACUGAGACACGGCCCAAACUCCUACGGGAGGCAGCAGUGGGGAAUAUUGCACAAUGGGCGAAAGCCUGAUGCAGCGACGCCGCGCGAGGGAUGAAGGCCUUCGGGUCGUAAACCUCUUUCAGCAGGGAAGAGGCGCAAGUGACGGUACCUGCAGAAGAAGCACCGGAUAACUACGUGCCAGCAGCCGCGGUAAUACGUAGGGUGCGAGCGUUGUCCGGAAUUAUUGGGCGUAAAGAGCUUGUAGGCGGUUUGUCGCGUCUGCCGUGAAAAUCCGGGGCUCAACCCCGGACUUGCGGUGGGUACGGGCAGACUAGAGUGUGGUAGGGGAGACUGGAAUUCCUGGUGUAGCGGUGAAAUGCGCAGAUAUCAGGAGGAACACCGAUGGCGAAGCCAGGUCUCUGGGCCACUACUGACGCUGAGAAGCGAAAGCGUGGGGAGCGAACAGGAUUAGAUACCCUGGUAGUCCACGCCGUAAACGUUGGGAACUAGGUGUGGGUCUCAUUCCACGAGAUCUGUGCCGCAGCUAACGCAUUAAGUUCCCCGCCUGGGGAGUACGGCCGCACGGCUAAAACUCAAAGGAAUUGACGGGGGCCCGCACAAGCGGCGGAGCAUGUGGAUUAAUUCGAUGCAACGCGAAGAAUCCUUACCAAGGCUUGACAUAUACCGGAACAUCCAGAGAUGGGUGCCCCGCAAGGUCGGUAUACAGGUGGUGCAUGGUUGUCGUCAGCUCGUGUCGUGAGAUGUUGGGUUAAGUCCCGCAACGAGCGCAACCCUCGUUCUAUGUUGCCAGCGCGUGAUGGCGGGGACUCAUAGGAGACUGCCGGGGUCAACUCGGAGGAAGGUGGGGAUGACGUCAAAUCAUCAUGCCCCUUAUGUCUUGGGCUUCACACAUGCUACAAUGGCCGGUACAAAGGGCUGCGAAACCGCGAGGCGGAGCGAAUCCCAAAAAACCGGUCUCAGUUCGGAUUGGGGUCUGCAACUCGACCCCAUGAAGUCGGAGUCGCUAGUAAUCGCAGAUCAGCAACGCUGCGGUGAAUACGUUCCCGGACCUUGUACACACCGCCCGUCAAGUCACGAAAGUCGGUAACACCCGAAGCCGGUGGCCCAACCCCUUGUGGGAGGGAGCCGUCGAAGGUGGGACUGGCGAUUGGGACU